rnacentral:rRNA from 1 species
AGAAUCAACGCUGGCGGCGUGCCUAACACAUGCAAGUCGCACGAGAAAGGGUAGCAAUACCUGAGUAAAGUGGCGCACGGGUGAGUAACACGUGAAUUAUCUACCUCCGAGUGGGGAAUAACUGAGAGAAAUCUUAGCUAAUACCGCAUAACACUUACGAGUCAAAAGCAGCAAUGCGCUUGGAGAGGAGUUCGCGGCAGAUUAGUUAGUUGGCGGGGUAAUGGCCCACCAAGACGAUGAUCUGUAUCCGGCCUGAGAGGGCGCACGGACACACUGGAACUGAAACACGGUCCAGACUCCUACGGGAGGCAGCAGUGGGGAAUUUUUGCGCAAUGGGGGAAACCCUGACGCAGCAACGCCGCGUGGAGGAUGAAAUAUCUUGGUAUGUAAACUCCUUUCGAUGGGGAAGAUUAUGACGGUACCCAUAGAAGAAGCCCCGGCUAACUUCGUGCCAGCAGCCGC